rnacentral:lncRNA from 1 species
AGAGGUGAUAUGGUGUGCUCCUGUCAGAUUCCAAUGAAUCUGUGAAUUCUGCU